rnacentral:rRNA from 1 species
UCGAGAAUCUUCCGCAAUGGACGAAAGUCUGACGGAGCGACGCCGCGUGCGGGAUGAAGGCCCUCGGGUUGUAAACCGCUGUCAGAGGGGAGGAAAUUUUGACCGAUCCUCAGAGGAAGCGCAGGCUAAGUUCGUGCCAGCAGCCGCGGUAACACGAACUGCGCGAACGUUAUUCGGAAUCACUGGGCUUAAAGAGUUCGUAGGCGGCUUGGUCAGUCAGAUGUGAAAUCCCACAGCCCAACUGUGGAACUGCGUUUGAUACUGCCAAGCUUGAGGGAGUUAGAGGAAAGCGGAACUGAUGGUGGAGCGGUGAAAUGCGUUGAUAUCAUCAGGAACACCGGUGGCGAAAGCGGCUUUCUGGAGCUCUUCUGACGCUGAGGAACGAAAGCUAGGGGAGCGAACGGGAUUAGAUACCCCCGUAGUCC